GAUGAACGCUGGCGGCGUGCCUAAUACAUGCAAGUCGAGCGAACAGACGAGGAGCUUGCUCCUCUGACGUUAGCGGCGGACGGGUGAGUAACACGUGGAUAACCUACCUAUAAGACUGGGAUAACUUCGGGAAACCGGAGCUAAUACCGGAUAACAUGUUGAACCACAUGGUUCAACAGUGAAAGACGGUCUUGCUGUCACUUAUAGAUGGAUCCGCGCCGCAUUAGCUAGUUGGUAAGGUAACGGCUUACCAAGGCAACGAUGCGUAGCCGACCUGAGAGGGUGAUCGGCCACACUGGAACUGAGACACGGUCCAGACUCCUACGGGAGGCAGCAGUAGGGAAUCUUCCGCAAUGGGCGAAAGCCUGACGGAGCAACGCCGCGUGAGUGAAGAAGGUCUUCGGAUCGUAAAACUCUGUUAUUAGGGAAGAACAAAUGUGUAAGUAACUAUGCACGUCUUGACGGUACCUAAUCAGAAAGCCACGGCUAACUACGUGC
rnacentral:rRNA from 1 species